rnacentral:rRNA from 1 species
UGUCCCAGUUCGGACUGGAGUCUGCAACCCGACUCCACGAAGUUGGAUUCGCUAGUAAUCGCGCAUCAGCCAUGGCGCGGUGAAUACGUUCCCGGGCCUUGUACACACCGCCCGUCAAGCCAUGGAAGCCGGGGGUGCCUGAAGUGCGCUGCCGCAAGGAGCGCCCUAGGGUAAAACCGGUGACUGGGGCUAAGUCGUAACAAGGUACC